AGAUUGAACGCUGGCGGCAGGCCUAACACAUGCAAGUCGAGCGGCAGCACGGGUACUUGUACCUGGUGGCGAGCGGCGGACGGGUGAGUAAUGCCUAGGAAUCUGCCUGGUAGUGGGGGGAUAACGCUCGGAAACGGACGCUAAUACCGCAUACGUCCUACGGGAGAAAGCAGGGGACCUUCGGGCCUUGCGCUAUCAGGUGAGCCUAGGCGAUUAGCUAGUUGGUGGGUAAUGGCUCACCAAGGCGACGAUCCGUAAUGGUCUGAGAGGAUGAUCAGUCACACUGGAACUGAGACACGGUCCAGACUCCGUACGGGAGCAGCAGGUCGGGAAUAUUGGACAAGUGGGACGAAAGCCUAGACUCCAGCCAUGCCGCGUGUGUAGAGAGGUCUCGGAUU
rnacentral:rRNA from 1 species